CGGUAAUUCCAGCUCCAAUAGCGUAUAUUAAAGUUGUUGUGGUUAAAAAGCUCGUAGUCGAACCUUGGGCCUGGCUGGCCGGUCCCCCUCACCGGGUGCACUGAUCCAGCCGGGCCUUUCCCUCUGUGGAACCCCAUGGCCUUCACUGGCUGUGCGGGGGAAACAGGACUUUUACUGUGAAAAAAUUAGAGUGCUCCAGGCAGGCCUAUGCUCGAAUACAUUAGCAUGGAAUAAUAGAAUAGGACGUGUGGUUCUAUUUUGUUGGUUUCUAGGACCGCCGUAAUGAUUAAUAGGGACAGUCGGGGGCAUCAGUAUUCAGUUGUCAGAGGUGAAAUUCUUGGAUCUACUGAAGACUAACUACUGCGAAAGCAUUUGCCAAGGAUGUUUUCAUUGAUAAGGAACGAAAGUUAGGGGAUCGAAGACGAUCAGAUACCGUCGUAGUCUUAACUAUAAACUAUGCCGACUAGGGAUCGGACGAUGUUAUUAUUUGACGCGUUCGGCACCUUUCGAGAAAUCAAAGUGCUUGGGCUCCAGGGGGAGUAUGGUCGCAAGGCUGAAACUUAAAGAAAUUGACGGAAGGGCACCACCAGGGGUGGAACCUGCGGCUUAAUUUGACUCAACACGGGGAAACUCACCAGGUCCAGACACAGUGAGGAUUGACAGAUUGAGAGCUCUUUCUUGAUUCUGUGGGUGGUGGUGCAUGGCCGUUCUUAGUUGGUGGAGUGAUUUGUCUGCUUAAUUGCGAUAACGAACGAGACCUUAACCUGCUAAAUAGCCCGUACUGCUCUGGCAGUUCGCUGGCUUCUUAGAGGGACUAUCGGCUCAAGCCGAUGGAAGUUUGAGGCAAUAACA
rnacentral:rRNA from 1 species